CACGAAGUUAGCCGGAGCUUCUUCUUGGGGUACCGUCAUUAUCGUCCCCCACGAAAGAAUUUUACAACCCUAAGGCCUUCAUCAUUCACGCGGCAUGGCUGGAUCAGGCUUGCGCCCAUUGUCCAAGAUUCCCGACUGCUGCCUCCCGUAGGAGUCUGGGCCGUGUCUCAGUCCCAGUGUGGCUGAUCAUCCUCUCAGACCAGCUAAAAGAUCGUAGGCUUGGUAGGCCUUUACCCCACCAACUACCUAAUCUUGCGCGGGCCGAUCCCAAGGCGAUAAAUCUUUCACCUUACGGUCACAUCCGGUAUUAGCGCCAGUUUCCCGGCGUUGUUCCGAACCUUGGGGCACGUUCCCACGUGUUACUCACCCGUCUGCCACUCCCCUUGCGGGGCGUUCGACUUGCAUGUCUUAAGCCUGCCGCCAGCGUUCGUUCUGAGCCAGGAUCAAACUCU
rnacentral:rRNA from 1 species